UACGGGGGGGGCAAGCGUUGUUCGGAAUUACUGGGCGUAAAGGGCUCGUAGGCGGCCAACUAAGUCAGACGUGAAAUUCCUCGGCUUAACCGGGGAACUGCAUCUGAUACUGGAUGGCUUGAGUUCGGGAGAGGGAUGCGGAAUUCCAGGUGUAGCGGUGAAAUGCGUAGAGAUCGGGAGGAACAUCAGUGGCGAAGGCGGCCAUCUGGGACAACACUGACGCUGAGGCACGAAAGCGUGGGGAGCAAACAGG
rnacentral:rRNA from 1 species